AUGACAAGGGAGAUUCGGGACAUGACACACCUGAGCAGUCAGACCGUUCUGUUUAAAGCUCUGCUGGGCAGAGUGCAGGGAAAGAGUUCAUAGGAGGGUGAUGGAAGACCUGUGGAUAUCCCAAAACCCCAAAACAUCCACCUGCUCUGCUGUGCUGGCCAGGAAUUAUAGGACAGCUUGGAUUGGAAAGGACCUUAAAGAUAUUCCAGUUCCAAUUCCCUGCAUCCCAGAAGUUGGAGCAAACGGAUUGGAAUCGGAGGAAGGAAGGAAAGAUUGAUCCUCCUGGUCUCUGCUGCUUGCUGCAGUCAGCAUGGAAGCUGUUUGGAUGUGGCUAAUAAAUGUAUGUAGGUCAUAAUCCCCAGGGUCCUCAUGCUCCCAAUAAUAGGAAUAAUUAACAGCAAUUUCUUUUGCUGUGCUCCUUCUCCCCAGUUCACAAAAGGAGGAGGAAGAGGAGGGGAAUGGAGCUAAGGAAUAGAAGUGGCCUUGACUAUCCAGACUCAAAAGAGAAUUUCUUGGUGCUCACACUUUUGGAAAGGAGGAUCUGGAAGCAGAUUCAUGAGGUUCUGCAGAGAUAAAGCAAAACUUGUCAAAGGGGUGUUGCUGCUUUUUUGACAACACAAAGAUCAACAGGGAAAUGCCUUCCUGUGGUUGGAGAAAGACACUGUCCAAUUGCCAAAAUAUUGAAUUUCUUCUCUAUUUCCAUGUUAAUGACUCUACAGAGAGCUUGGGGGCUUGAAAGGAGCAGGGUUGGAGCAGCAUCCUCUGGCCAGAGGGAGUGCAAAUCCUGAGUCUGUUACAGUUUCUGACAAGGAA